GUUUUAAUAGUUUAAUGAAAACAAUGAUUUUGUAAAUCAUAAUUAGGUCACCUUUAAAACA
rnacentral:tRNA from 1 species